UUCUUUGUGGUGUAGUGGUGAACACGCUCGGCGCGUAUUCGAGUGGUCCUUGGUUCGAGUCCCGGCGAGGGCA
rfam:Stegodyphus mimosarum contig47432, whole genome shotgun sequence.